rnacentral:lncRNA from 1 species
AUUGCAGCAGGCUGCAACAGUCAAACACUUAAUUGUGGCUGUGUUGUGUAGUUCAGACGCUACUAGCCCUUCAUGUUGUUCUAUUUCCACAACGAGCUACUCGGAGAGAAUCACAAGAUGUUUCCACACGUUGAUUCACUGUCGGAGGUUGUGCUAAGUCGAGCAGAGCAGGUUCGGUUAUGGGAAAAGUCCUUGGCAAAGCCGGAACAACUUGUUUGUUUUUGCCUCCCUGUUCUGCAUUUUUGGUACAGACGUCUCUGAGGGAGCUGGGAUUGCUGUUGUGGCUGCUUAGAGCCCAGUAAGACCAGCACCGGAAGCUAAACGCCCGAUCCUCUGCAGCAUUUCCCCUUUGCUUCUAUCAGCCUUCGCUGGGGGAGAGAGACAAGGGAGUCAACUGUGAAUCAUCUAGCCAGGUAAGAAGACCCCCCCCCCCGAACUGCAUUUAUUUGUUGUCUUUCAACUUUCGUUUUGCUCUGUACCUGCACAUUGCAUUUAGAUUAUUUAUUAUUAUUUAUUUUCAAUUUGUGUGCAGAAGGGCAGUUUUGUAUGUGUAUAGGUUCUGUGUGUGGAGAGGGGAGAGUGAUUAAAAACGUGUGGGGGCCUGGAAUAGGAUCAUUGACCCCAUUUCCCAUUUCUGUGCUUUAUUGCACAUGGAUUUCAGGAAGUAUGAAGAUGGCUA